UCUUACCUUUGUUCUGUUCAGAGGACAAGAAGUUGCAAACACAUGAAAUUCAAAAGCUUAUCCGCAAACUUUUACUGGGAAAAUUUCAUUCAGGUGCUAAAACUUACACCUAAGUUGAUUGAACUAUACAAAAACAUGAUCCAUAUAGUCAUAUAGAUGAGGAGAAUUCAAGAUUCACCAGAAGCAAAUUGGGAGUCAACAUGAAGUGUGUUGCUGUCUGGCCUUAGUUCCGCCUAUACCAUCAGGUCCACUUAGUUCUAAGCAAGUUCCGGCUUGCAUUUUAGAUGCAGACCUUGUUUUCAAACCGGAUAUCUGAGUGGCUGUCUUGAAGAAAAAUUACGACUACUAUUGUCCUGCAGGGGCUCAAAUUGGUAAAAGGAGCAAUACUAAUGGUAUGACUGGUGUGACAUGGUGAUUCCAAAGCUUAAUGAAAGAAAAGGGGGAUUGAAUGAAGAAACAGAAUGAAAAUAGGAAAUGAGGAAUCCAUUCAUCUCUUUGCAAGGUACCUUUCAAUCUCUAUUUGUAGAGCUUAUGGAGUUUAUUAACGUAUUAACAUAGACAUAUAGCAAAUCAAUGAAUAAAAAGCAAACUCUAUUAUAGCAAACUGUUGAGAUUAAACUCAUAAACAGAUACAAUGUUCAAUAGUUGCAAUCUGGUGUAUAAAAGAGGAAUAAACAAAA